rnacentral:rRNA from 1 species
GCCUGCAUGAAGUCGGAAUUGCUAGUAAUCGUAGGUCAGCAUACUACGGUGAAUACGUUCCCGGGCCUUGUACACACCGCCCGUCAAACCAUGAGAGUUGGCAACACCCGAAGUCGGUAGUCUAACCGCAAGGAGGACGCUGCCGAAGGUGGGAUUAGCGACUGGGGUGAAGUCGUAACAAGGUAGC